ACUGGGCAUGGUGGCACAUGCCUGUAAUCCCAGCUACUUGGGAGGUUGAGGCAGGAGAAUCGCUUGAACUCGGGAGGCGGAGGUUGCAGUGAGCUGAGAUCGGUCCACUGCACUCCAGCCUGAGUGACAGAGCGAGACUCUGUCUCAA
rnacentral:SRP_RNA from 2 species